rnacentral:lncRNA from 1 species
CUGUUCACUUUCUAACGCAAAUAACUUAAAAGAAAUCUUGAAGACAUAAUCUUUAAAUCAAAGCAAAAAUAUAGAGAAACCGUCGACUACCCCAGAUCACCCUCAUCCUCUUUACGGCUGACCAUAUCAGUCCGUAAACUACUUUGUUUUUCCGCACGUGGAGACCAAGCUUUACACACAACAAUGACGAAACUGAAGUUAGUAGGAGCAGAUUUUUGUCAAGCAAAGCAGAUCGUACGAACAAUGUGUGGAUAAUAUAAACGAGCCAUGGAAUGAAAAAUCAAAAGCUUUGGAAUCAAACCACGAGAAAUUGGACAAAUUAACAUCUAACAGAAAACAAAUAGCCUUCAGUUUUCACCAAUCAGCAUCGAAACUACUGAUUAAUCCCUUUAUCACAGCAACUAUAAAAUUCCAACUUCUGGAAUUACAACUCAAGAAUCAACUACCCUCGGAAAGACGUGAACACAAUUUUUCAUUAGUUUUUGGCUUAAAUCACAACUCCAAACUUCUAACAUAAUCAGAUUUUAACAAUUAAACUCAAACGACGGAUAAGACUCAAAAUGACCAUCGGAUUCAUCAAAUUGUUCGACAUAUGAAGGCAGGAAACAACGAAAGAAAAAGAAAGAAGAAAAAAUAAAAUGAUGCGGUCACAUAACACCAAAGAGAAUUCAUACCAAACCAAACAAGUUCAAAUUCAACCUGAGAGGAAAAUAUCAAUCAAUUACAGGAGGAGAACUAGAUGAGUAUUUUACCUCUUUGCAAGCAGAAAACCGGACUACAGGCUUUGUCAGAAUCUCUCUACCAUCACCGAAAUGAACUUGGAUUCUUAUCCUAUAUAUUCGAGCUCAAAACAAGCCUUAUCGAAUUUCUCAGCACCGAAAUCCUUCUUCAGAUAGCAAAAUCCUAUGCUUUCUUGGGGUUCUCGCUAUCCGAACUUCCCCACCUUUCAGUGAAAAUAAUAGGAAUAUAUACAGAAAAUAUUUUUGAGUUGAAUUGUUGUUUUUUAGUGAUGUGGGAUGGAAAUUAUGAGGGACAUGUUCGAAAUUCUAAAAGGCUGAUAGAUAAAGUCCCAUGAAUGAGUUGGAUUCGUACUAUUUUGGUACAAAAUUUGAAUUUCAAAUUCAAAAGCAGACAUGGGUGAGCUGUACGCGUGGGCUCGGGUCGAUUCGCCUAUUGGAAUUUUUGUUGGCGUUG